AUGGAGGCGAUUGUUUUGUACCCAUCACCACCUAUUGGCCACUUGGUUUCUAUGGUAGAGUUGGGAAAAUUCAUACUUACUCGCCAUCCUUCAUGUAGUAUACAUAUACUUAUCACCACCCCACCUUACACAGCCGAUGAUACCGCCCCGUAUAUUGCCCGUCUCUGCCACCACUCUCUCCAUCAUCUUCCACCAUCUCCCCACUAUCUCUCUCCCUCCCUCCUCCACUUCCUCUCCGAACCAUGGAACCCUAGCCUUUGAAGUCCUUCGGCGCAACAACUCCAACGUCCACAAAGCCCUCUUUUCCAUCUCCAAAACUUUACUGUUUAAGCUUUUAUCAUGGACUUCUUCUGUGCUCUUGGGCUUUUUGUUGCUAGUGAUCUGAACAUCCCAGGUUACUUUUUCUUCACAUCUGGUGCAGGAUGCCUCGCUUCCUUUCUAUACUCCCUGCUAUUCACAAAAACACUGACAAGAGCCUCAAACACCUUAACACCCUUCUCUAUAUUCCAGGACUACCACCAAUACCCUCCUCUAAUAUGCUAAAACCAGUUUUGGAACGUAAUGAGAAGGCUUAUGAGGGCUUUCUAGAAAACUCAAUCCAGUUACCUAAAUCAGCUGGGAUUAUCGUGAACAUGUUUGAAUCACUCGAAUCUAGAGCCAUCAGAGCACUAUCAGAUGGACUAUGCUUGCCUGAAGAUACUCCCACACCUCCCAUCUACUGCAUAAGACCAUUAAUCUUUGCUCACAAUCAAGGAGGUGGUGGUAGUGAUGAUGUGCCAGAGUGUUUGACAUGGCUGGACUCACAGCCAAGUGGAAGUGUGGCGUUCCUUUGUUUUGGAAGCUUAGGAUUGUUUACAAAGGAACAGUUGCAGGAAACAGCUGUGGGGUUAGAGAGGAGUGGCCAAAGGUUCUUGUGGGUGGUCCGUAACUCACCUUCUCAUAAUCAAAGUGUGGCUAUUACGGCCCUACCUGACCCAGAUUUGGAUUCUUUGCUUCCGGAUGGUUUCUUGGUUAGGACAAAGGAUAGGGGUCUUGUAGUGAAGUCAUGGGCACCACAAGUGGCCGUGCUUAAUCAUGAUUCGGUAGGUGGGUUUGUGAGUCACUGUGGAUGGAACUCAGUGUUGGAGGCGGUGUGUGCUGGGGUGCCAAUGGUGUCUUGGCCACUCUAUGUAGAGCAGAGAUUUAAUAGGGUUGUUUUGGUGGAGGAAAUAAAGAUUGCUUUGCUAAUGAACGAGUCACUGGACGGGUUCGUAAAGGCAGUAGAGGUAGAGAAGCAUUUUAGAGAGUUGAUGGACUCAGAGGAAGGAGAGUCAAUCAGGAUGAGGGCCAAGGCUCUUAAGAGUCAAGCAAAGGCUGCUCUGAGUGAAGGCGGGACAUAUCGGGUUGCAUUAACUAAACUCGUAGAAUCAUGGCACCAAGGCUGAGUCGAGUUUAUCCAACCAGGUCUGUGAGGUUAAACUGUACUGCUUACUUACUGAGACUAUAGAAGUUUCUACUUCAAGCAGCCCAAAUGGGAGGUGACCAUAGUGUUUCAAUGUCUAUAGGACUGCAAAUCUAUUUUGAUGUGGGUCUUUUUAUUAGUUUUCUGGUGGUUUAGGCCCCUCAAUAGUUGUUGUUGCCUAACUAUGUUUUCAUAUUACUGAAACUAACUAUUUCCUCUGCAACAGAAACCAUUUGGACAUUUUCUGCUAUUCUUUCCCAUUUUUGUGUAUGUAUUUGUUUUUAUGUAAUUUCGGUACAGGAUUAACCGUAUAUCUGUCUGUUAUAUCCUAUGUAAGGUUUCAUAAUAUAAACUUAUUAAAUCCUAAUAGUGGUUGCAGGUGUAAGCUAUUUGAUACAACUCUUUACCAGUAUGUAAGGAGCAUUCCCUAAGAGCCCAUGGUAUGGGCAAAUGCUUCAUCUU